rnacentral:rRNA from 1 species
GACAGAGGGUGCAAACGUUGUUCGGAAUUACUGGGCGUAAAGCGCGUGUAGGCGGCUAUGUAAGUCGGGCGUGAAAUCCCACGGCUCAACCGUGGAAGUGCACCCGAAACUGCGUAGCUAGAGUCCUGGAGAGGAAGGUGGAAUGCUUGGUGUAGAGGUGAAAUUCGUAGAUAUCAAGCGGAACACCGGUGGCGAAGGCGGCCUGGCUGGGCAGUAGCUGACGCUGAUGCGCGACGAGCGUGGGGGAGCAAACAGG